UGCCAGCCGCCGCGGUAAUACGAAGGGGGCUAGCGUUGUUCGGAAUUACUGGGCGUAAAGCGUACGUAGGCGGAUUAGAAAGUUAGGGGUGAAAUCCCAGGGCUCAACCCUGGAACUGCCUCUAAAACUCCUAAUCUUGAGUUCGAGAGAGGUGAGUGGAAUUCCGAGUGUAGAGGUGAAAUCCGUAGAUAUUCGGAGGAACACCAGUGGCGAAGGCGGCUUUCUGGACCGAUACUGACGCUGAGACGCGAAAGCGUGGGGAGCAAACAGGAUUAGAUA
rnacentral:rRNA from 1 species